rnacentral:rRNA from 1 species
UACAUGGGGUGCAAACGUUGCUCGGAAUUAUUGGGCGUAAAGCGCACGUAGGUGGUCCCUUAAGUCGGAUGUGAAAUCCCUCGGCUCAACUGAGGAAGUGCAUCCGAAACUGAGGGGCUGGAGUAUGGUAGAGGGUCGCGGAAUUCCCGGUGUAGAGGUGAAAUUCGUAGAUAUCGGGAGGAACACCGGUGGCGAAGGCGGCGACCUGGGUCGAUACUGACGCUGAUGCGCGAAAGCUAGGGGAGCAAACGGG